UCUUGGACUAACUUAGAAUCCAUUAAAUUUUGGUGAUGAUCCAGAUCACUGUCCACAUCCUAGGUGCUGUAGUGUGUAUAUUACUUUCUUCUGUUGAUUUGAUAAACAUAAACAUACUCAAAAGUGUGUAGUUUAUUCAAGAAAACAUGAUGUAAGAUAGGAUUUCAAUUGAUUACUAUAAAUGUUUCCAUUCUUCACAGAUAUGUUUUUGGGUUAUACCUGCAGUUCAUACUUUACACCAGCAGGUGGUAUAAUUGUUUCUAGUAUUGAUUUAUUUUAUAAAAAACAAAAACAACAUGCAUUUCUUGGAUGCACUGUAUAACUAUGUUGGCAUGUUUUUGCCCGAUCUCCACAAUACUCUUUUUAUAAAAAGAAAAACAGGAACUGUAUAAGUUCAGCAUCAUUAUGCAGUAAAAUAUUUUUUCUUGUCCAUGCAGGGUCCAGUGAGUGGAAAAAGAAAAAACAACUGGAUGGAGCAACUGUCCAGAGCUCUGCUGGACCAUAAAGUGAGCCAUGGGGACAUGAAAGCCUUUUGAAUAAACUGACUUGGAUUUUCCAUUGUCCAAUCAAGCACUUGUAUGAGGGAGAGCAUCAGCGGAAAGACUUCACACCCUUGAAUCGUCCUACAGGAGAUGGGUCCCUCCUUCAUGAGUUAGGAUUAUUGAAAGUAACAAUAUUGCAUCUGGUUCUACCAGAGUUUUUCCCGUGCAGUUGAGGGAGGAUCUGAGGAUGGAAGACGCCAAGAGACAACAGUCCACAUUAUUUGUGACUCUUUGUUACACUGUCUAAGAUGGUUUGUUCUGCACUUUUUAGACUGUGUUUGAAUGUAAUUACCUCACUCACUGCUACAAUUAGAGAAGAAAUUAAAAGAAUGCUCCAAACCAAUCUAUUCACAACAUAUUGUCUACUUACGGAGGUAUUAAUGUUUUUGAUAUUUAAAUGUUUUUUAAUUAAAUUUCUGUCUUUAUCUUGUUUUGAAAAAAAUGCAAUAAACUGUUGAUCUUA